rnacentral:tRNA from 1 species
UGGUAAGUAGUUUAAACAAAA